rnacentral:lncRNA from 1 species
UAGGCAAGUCACUUAACCCUUUUUGUCUUAGUUUUCUCAUCUGUAAAAUGAGUUGGACAAGGAAAUGGCAAGCUACUCCAGUGUCUCUGCCAAAAAAAAACCCAAAUGAGGUCAUGAAGAGUCAGACACCACAGAAAACCAUGUAAUAACACAACAAUCAACAACUCUCACUUUGCAUAUACAGCAUGGACAUAGGGUUGUUCCUCAGGAAAAACCACCUACCUCACCUAAGUGAGAGUGGAAAUUAAUAAAAAUGGCAGCUAUUAUUAAUAAUAAUGGCAAAAUUUUAAUCAAUCAAUGCACAUAUAUUGGAAGAAGAGAUUGAAAGGACUAAGAUAUAUAGUCUCAGCUCUCAAAGAGAUUUCCUACUCUAAUAAGAGAAAUCAGUCAUGGACAAAUAGAACCGUAAUAUAAGGAUGACAGAGCUUCUAAUAGAAAUCAGAAGAAUUUGGAGGGUCCUACAUCCUGACCUCUCAAAGCUACCCUUGGUCCCUGAUCCAAUUCCUCCAAAUGAAGAAGGGAAAGGAAAAGAGGGAAGCAUUCUCCAGGUAUUGUUCCUCGUGAUCCAGUCUGGCAAAAGGACUUACUCAAAGUCAUAAUGAUUUUGUAACAGACCCAGAUUGGAACCGUGGUCUCCAGACUCCUAGAAUGGGGCUUUGAUAUCUUCAGUUUGCCGAAGAAAGGAAUACUGAGAACUACAAGAGCAGGUUCCUGUCUAUCAGCAUGAGUGCAUGUGUGUAGGGGGCAAAAGUGUGCUGAGCCUCUUUCUGGAAAUGGAAACCAUUAAAAUAAAAAGUGUUGCAAAGAGAGAAAGAGGAAGGAG